AGCGAACGUUUGCGGCGGGCCUAACACAUGCAAGUCGAACGCACUAGCAAUAGUGAGUGGCGCACGGGUGCGUAACACGUGGGUAAUCAACCCUUCAGCUUGGGAUAACGACUUGAAAGGGUCGCUAAUACCGGAUACGGCGCGGGAGGCUUCGGCUUCUCACGAGAAAGCCUCGCAAGGGGCACUGAAGGACGAGCCUGCGGCCCAUCAGCUAGUUGGUGAGGUAAGAGCUCACCAAGGCGAAGACGGGUAGCUGGUCUGAGAGGAUGAUCAGCCACACUGGAACUGAGACACGGUCCAGACUCCUACGGGAGGCAGCAGUGGGGAAUAUUGCGCAAUGGGCGAAAGCCUGACGCAGCCACGCCGCGUGAGCGAUGAAGGCCUCGGUCGUAAGCUCUGUGGGGAGGAGACGAAGAAAGCCGU
rnacentral:rRNA from 1 species